AGCGGGAAGAGCUCAAAUUUAUAAUCUGGCACCUUCGGUGUCCGAGUUGUAAUCUCUAGAAGUGUUUUCCGCGUUGGACCGCACACAAGUCUGUUGGAAUACAGCGGCAUAGUGGUGAAACCCCCGUAUAUGGUGCGGACGCCCAGCGCUUUGUGAUACACUUUCAAUGAGUCGAGUUGUUUGGGAAUGCAGCUCAAAUUGGGUGGUAAAUUCCAUCUAAAGCUAAAUAUUGGCGAGAGACCGAUAGCGAACAAGUACCGUGAGGGAAAGAUGAAAAGCACUUUGGAAAGAGAGUUAACAGUACGUGAAAUUGUUGGAAGGGAAACGCUUGAAGUCAGACUUGCUUGCCGGAGCUUGCUUCGGUUUGCAGGCCAGCAUCAGUUUUCCGGGGUGGAUAAUGACGGUUUGAAGGUAGCAGUCUCGGCUGUGUUAUAGCUUUCCGUUGGAUACGCCCUGGGGGACUGAGGAACGCAGCGUGCUUUUUGCGAAAGACUCGUCUUUUUCACGCUUAGGAUGCUGGUGGAAUGGCUUUAAACGACCCGUCUUGAA
rnacentral:rRNA from 1 species